AAGUCGUAACAAGGUUUCCUCUAUAGAAUACCUAUUGAAGCCUUGAACCUAAAGUCUAUUUUAUAGGCAACAUCUUUACUGUGCUUGGAGACCUUGAAGGUAACAAGCAGCUGCUAAACCAGCUCACAGAUCAAACAAAGGUGGUUCUCUAGCCCUCACGCUGUUGAAUUAAAAUAUGACCGGCUCACUGUUGGAAAAACAGUAAUUAUUGUGUUCCGUAGGUGAACCUGCGGAAGGAUCAUUACUGAAAAAACCCGAGGAUGUUGCUGGCGGUGCGCAAGCGUUCGCACGUGCACUCCU
rnacentral:misc_RNA from 1 species